rnacentral:lncRNA from 1 species
CUGCCUUCCUCCUGUCAGAGAGCAGAGCAGCACCUCGUGAGCUGUGUGUGAAGGCAGCUUGAGAUGGCAGGUGCAAACAUCCCAGUGAGCUGUGCGUACUCCUGAUCUAGCACAGACACUUGCUCAGCCCAGUGGAAGGCACCUUUAGCUACUUCAACAAGCUUGGCUAUUUCCACCUCCCUGGCCCUAGCUGGGAAAGCUGGCACCGGUCCCAAGGCUAUCCCAGCUCUCUCCCGAGGCUGCUGUGGGUGACCUGCUGCUUGGGCUGACAGCCAGGAUAACUGAUAGAGAAUGCUACCAGGUGAUGGCCAGAGAAGCUUGGACUUGCUCCUGCUUCCCAGACCUGCUGCCCCAUCUGCUCCAGCAGUUUCCGAGCACUGCCAGUGCCACAUUGGUUUUCACAGCUGCCUUGGUGGGGCUGGAUGCAUGGACUGGGCACACCCUGCAAUCACACCCCCAGCUGAUGAGGAACAAAAGAUCUCCGGCAGCUUUUGACCAGGCGCACACAGUGGCAAAGCUCUCCUUUUUAUAACAAAAUCCAGGAGAGAGGGGUAGCUGGAGCCAUGGCAUCAGCACAUUUUCAUUGCACAAAAGAGGUGAGACACAAAAGAGGGUCACAAAUCCACCCUCUCACUGCAAUUUGUCAUCUCGU